rfam:Morus notabilis contig15046, whole genome shotgun sequence.
GUGGAGGUGAUGAUCAUUUCCCCAGAUGAUCGACGCUGAUUAUACUGUGCGAAUUAGUUAUCUCUUUCGAGAUACCAAGCCAGAUUUCUGAUCCAU